rnacentral:tRNA from 1 species
ACCUGAUUGGCUCAGUCAGAGGAGUGUGUGACUCCUGAUUUCAGGGUCGUGAGUUCAAACCCCACGUUGGGUA